rnacentral:rRNA from 1 species
AGUGGUGGGGAUGAUUAUUNGGCCUNAAGGGUCUGUAGCCUGCUGUGNAAGUUUCCCGUUAAAUCCAGCGUCUCAAGCGUUGGACUGCGGGAAAUACUGUACNGCUAGAGAGUGGGAGAGGUCAGCGGUAUUCUGGGGGUAGGGGCGAAAUCCUUUGAUCCCCGGAGGACCACCAGUGGCGAAGGCUGCUGUCUAGAACACGUCUGACGGUCAGGGACGAAAGCUGGGGUAGCGAACCGGAUUAGAUACCCGGGUAGUCCCAGCCGUAAACGAUGCAUGCUAGGUGUUGGGUUGGCCACUAGCCACCCCAGUGCCGCNGGGAA